rnacentral:tRNA from 1 species
GUCCCUGUAGCGUAAUGGACUUCUUAUCCAAAGGUCGUGGGUUCGAAUCCUACCUGGGAUG